GCCAGCAGCUACAGAAAAUCACCCUGUAGCUCUAAACUGGCUACCCACUGAAGCUAAGCAGGGUUGAGCCUGGUCAGUACCUGGAUGAGAAACCUCCUGGGAAGCUAUGGUUAUUGCUGGAA
rfam:Lepisosteus oculatus linkage group LG10, whole genome shotgun sequence.